rnacentral:rRNA from 1 species
UACAGAGGGGGCAAGCGUUGUUCGGAAUUACUGGGCGUAAAGGGCGCGUAGGCGGCCGCCUAAGUCAGACGUGAAAUCCCUCGGCUCAACCGGGGAACUGCGUCUGAUACUGGGUGGCUUGAAUCCGGGAGAGGGAUGCGGAAUUCCAGGUGUAGCGGUGAAAUGCGCAGAUAUCAGGAGGAACACCAAUGGCGAAGGCAGCACUCUGGGACGUGACUGACGCUGAGACGCGAAAGCGUGGGGAGCAAACAGG